UUGAGAGGUUGUCGGCAGGAGGGUGAAUGAUGUUGGAUGACAAUAAUAGUAAAGUUCGACGCUGGAAAGUGGAAAUAGAUAGUGACGAAACGUGAGCUGCUCGAUCACAGCGUAAUCAUCUCCGAAGUCCACACUCCAUUAUUGCAAAAGCUGCCUCUUCACCCUGCUGCUAUAUAUGGCUUCUCUGUUACCAACACAAAGCCUGAUCUCAUCCACUUUCAUGAAGCAGCCACCUGCACUGCGUCUCACUUGUCUCUCAAGCCCCGAUCGAAGUCGUCUCAUAUUGAUUCCCCCCCCCCCAAAAAAAAAAAAAAAACUUGACCUCACCAUCCCCAUAUCCCCACGCCUCUUGCUGCUGCGCUAUGUAUGGCUCUCCUUUUUGCGGAUGCGUUGGGGUGGAGUGUGAGCAGAUCACUUGCCGUGAGCUGUGGCAGUGUUUGAGGUACUUUCACUGCGUGAACGUAUUCAACAUGCCGAGUUUUUCAUUGGACACUGCGGCACCGAGAAGAUGCCAAAGGACCGAGGGCACUAGAGGCAGCUUACUGCUUAUGCAUAAUUCGUUUCAAAUUGGGACGCCAAGUUGCCAACAAUAUAUACAGAACCCUGUGCCAAUUGAUUCAUUCAGAUUUUGAUUGAACUCAGGGCAGGAUAUGGAAGGACUCGCACAACAUCACUGUUUGGUCAUUAGAGAGGAAAAGUCUAUUAUCGUUGUAUAUAUGUGCGCGCGCGCCUUCUAGCUGGCACUUUUUUUCAUGGUUGAAAAAUGCACGGGAGAUAAAGUAUCUAUGAUACACAUUAUUAUCUGCAAGAUCUUCUAUGUUUCAUUUGCUGGAACAGUGAUUGGCUCUGUGGGGAUGCUGUUUGAAUGGGAAAGGCCACUAGGCUUGUUGGUGCAUUCAAUAGAACAUAUCUGAUCGUAUAUCAUCAAUAAAAUU